rnacentral:rRNA from 1 species
UAGGGAAUCUUCCACAAUGGGCGAAAGCCUGAUGGAGCAACGCCGCGUGUGUGAUGAAGGGUUUCGGCUCAUAAAACACUGUUGUAAGAGAAGAAUGACAUUGAGAGUAACUGUUCAAUGUGUGACGGUAUCUUACCAGAAAGGAACGGCUAAAUACGUGCUAG